rnacentral:rRNA from 1 species
UAGUGCGAUUAUACCAUCACUAAUACAUUGGAUCCCAUCAUUAACUCCGCAAUUAAAACAUUUUUUGGUGAAAGUAGCACUAUGAUGAGUGACCUAUUGGAAAGUCCUCAUGUUACACUCU